UCCGCGCUCGAAGGGGAGUAGCUCCCAGACGUUGUCGCCGUCAAUUCGAGCCAGCCGGCUCCGGUGCAACGGCAGUCCCACGGGACUGUGAGCAAGACCUUCGCCGUACUG
rnacentral:misc_RNA from 1 species